rnacentral:misc_RNA from 1 species
ACUUCUCGUAGCGGGGGGUGGGUGGCUGUGUAAUAACUUCCGGUUUGGUUUCACAAGUUCGUGAUCAGCGUAAACAUGACCGUCGCGUCUGUAUGCAGGCGCUUUAUUGCUGGUGUUUACGCGAAACGUUUGGUAUUAACUACAAAUGGGCGAAUUGUACCGAAGCCAUUUCAGAUCUCGGAGGAAUAUUUUUAUAAGCAAAAUGGCACUAAAAAACUGCAUAGGCUGGUACACAUUACGGUCAGAACAUGCUGAUAUGGGAUGUCGAAGAUGUGCCCCCAAGGGGCCAGUCGACUGUUUUCCCGACACGACAACUGCAUUAAGAUCAUCAUAGAGGGACCAGUUCAAGAUGCACAAUGCUUCAUCAACAUGUCUCAGUCUGUCCAGUCCCCUGAUGCACCAAAGAGACCACUUCACCCAUUUGUUAAGUUUAUGAAGGAGAAGUAUUCAGAAGUUCAAAAGAAUAAGCCAGGUGCCAGAGUUGGUGAAGUAGCCAAAAUUGUAAGUCAGCUAUGGCAUGAACUAGGCCAAGAGGACCAAAAUGCACGCAAGUUACAAGCACAAGAAGAAUAUCAGGACUACAAACAGAAGUACUUGGUGUUUUUAGAUGGACUCAGUGAGGAAGAAAAAUCUCAACUACGUGCAAAGAAGGCAUAUCGAAAAAAAUUGAAAGACAAACAAGAGUUGUACAGUCUGGGAAGGCCAAAGAAGCCACUUAAUGCAUACUUCAUGUUUAUGAGAUCUCAGCAUGAACGGCUGCAUUAUAAAGAUCUUGCAAACCACUGGUACAUUAUUCCCCCAAGCGAGAAAAAGAUACACAAGGAAGGCGCCAGGGUAGAAAAAGAAAAAUAUGACAAGGAACUAGCAGAGUGGGAGGAGAGAAUGAUAGAAAUUGGCCGUGAAGAUGUUAUUCGCACAAGUUCUCGCAUCAAAUUCAAAAGAGCUUCAAAAAUCCUUAAGUAGCAAAGAAAUCCUCCACAUCGGGAAAAAAGGCAAAAGACUGCUACCAGCAUGUGGAAGGAAAACCACAAAUAAGUGCUAAUUGUAAUCAGUGCUUGCUGUUUCCUUGGUUUUAACAAGUGAAAAUGGCAGAAAAAAGACCAUGUGUUAUGAAUUUCAUUAAGCUAGCUAAUUUCCUGUUUCAUCAAACUUAAGUGUGAGUGUGCUCGCACCUGCACAUGUGUGUGUGAGCACACACGCUUGUGUGAUAAAUGUGAACUGGAUCUUGUAGAAUGAUGACAAAAAGUUUACUUGUGUUGUAUUAUGUGUCUGUAUGAGAAUGUAUGCCUGCCCUUGUGAGCGAAGACAAAUUUCUGUCCUGGGUCUCCUGGAUAGACAAUAAAGUCUGUUUUGAUUUUGAUUUUUAUGAACAGUAGGAAUGUAUAUACGUAAACAUUGUCAAUUUGAUUGCUUUUGAAAUUGAACAUUACCUUGAAUGCAUUAAAAUGUGUGCUUGGAUAAUCGUACAAGAACUCCCAGCAAUUUUAUUGCAAGCCUAUUCUUGACUUUAAGAAUUUUAUCAUUGUCCUGGAUAUGAAACUGUUAAAUGGUUUGCUGAGACCUGACAUCCUACAACUUCACAAGAGGUUUAGACUUGGUUAGAGUUGGUCUCAGCAGGCACCCAGCAGUCCAGAGGUGUACAUCCAUGAUUAUUGGGAGUAUGCCAAGUCAUCAUUUAAUGUUAGGAAAGUGUAGAAUUAACUAAACAUGUAUAUCAAAUUAAAGACCUUCAUGCUCAAAAUCACUUUUCAUAUCUCUUAUAAAUACCUUGAACAUGAAAUUGCAGGGUAGACGUGGUGAACCCACCCUCAUUUUCUCUCAGGGAAUAACUGAUAUAUCAUCCAUAGAUCUCUAUGUGUACCCCUAGUCUAGUAUUCUAAACUUCGAGAUAAAUGAAGAUAACACAUAAAACAGUGAUCACUUGUCUAUUAUUAUCACAAUGCUGAAGGUGAACCAGAAAACAUAUUCUAUAUAAUCACUUGAAUAAAUGCAAAAUAGACAAACUGGGAUGGGUAUAAACUACUAAUAGCAGAAGGUGUGGGCACCUGGUAUAGAUUCCAAACUUUCCCUAACAGAAUUAUUAAAGCUAUUAUUAAGUCUGUCUGUGUCAAGAAAUAAAUGUAUUUAUAGGUUAGACAUGGUGAAGCCUAUUAAACAGCUAUAAAAACAAGAAACAUAAAAAUAUGGGGUGAAAUACAAAACCAUAGACAACAGAAAAUAAUACCAAAUGCAAGAAUCAUUACAAAAAAAACCAUGAUUCUACAAGCCAAAUAGGAAGAAUGGCCCAGGUUUACUGAAUCUUUACAUUUAAACAUCCCUAUCAAGACUUGCUAAAAUCCACCAAAAUUUGGUGAUAACUGAGGGUGUGUAGGGGGUGGGUGGCAUUGUUGGGAAAUCAACCAGUUUCAUACCAGUAACUGUGACUUCAGUCACCGAUAAAUUCAAUUUCAAAUGUUAAAAUAAACCUUUUACAAACUAUA